rnacentral:rRNA from 1 species
UGAGGAAUAUUGGUCAAUGGGGCGGGAGCCUGAACCAGCCAAGCCGCGUGAGGGAAUAAGGCCCUACGGGUCGUAAACCUCUUUUGUCGGGGAACAAAACCGGAGACGAGUCUCCGGCUGCGUGUACCCGAAGAAAAAGCAUCGGCUAACUCCGUGCC